rnacentral:misc_RNA from 1 species
GACGGAGGGGGCUAGCGUUGUUCGGAAUUACUGGGCGUAAAGGGCGCGUAGGCGGAUUAGUAAGUUGGGAGUGAAAUCCCGGGGCUCAACCUCGGAAUUGCUUUCAAAACUGUUAGUCUAGAGUGAAGUAGGGGGUGAUGGAAUUCCUUGUGUAGAGGUGAAAUUCUUAAAUAUUAGGAGGAACACCGGUGGCGAAGGCGGUCACCUGGGCUUCAACUGACGCUGAGGCGCGAAAGCGUGGGGAGCAAACAGG